rnacentral:rRNA from 1 species
GGGUUGUGAGGUUAAGCGACUAAGCGUACACGGUGGAUGCCCUGGCAGUCAGAGGCGAUGAAGGGCGUGCUAAUCUGCGAUAAGCGCCGGUAAGGUGAUAUGAACCGUUAUAACCGGCGAUACCCGAAUGGGGAAACCCAGUGUGACUCGUCACACUAUCAUUAACUGAAUCCAUAGGUUAAUGAGGCGAACCGGGGGAACUGAAACAUCUAAGUACCCCGAGGAAAAGAAAUCAACCGAGAUUCCCCCAGUAGCGGCGAGCGAACGGGGAGGAGCCCAGAGCCUGAAUCAGCAUGUGUGUUAGUGGAAGCGUCUGGAAAGGCGCGCGAUACAGGGUGACAGCCCCGUACACAAAAGCGCAUGUGCUGUGAGCUCGAUGAGUAGGGCGGGACACGUGGUAUCCUGUCUGAAUAUGGGGGGACCAUCCUCCAAGGCUAAAUACUCCUGACUGACCGAUAGUGAACCAGUACCGUGAGGGAAAGGCGAAAAGAACCCCGGCGAGGGGAGUGAAAAAGAACCUGAAACCGUGUACGUACAAGCAGUGGGAGCACAGGUUUACCUGUGUGACUGCGUACCUUUUGUAUAAUGGGUCAGCGACUUAUAUUCUGUAGCAAGGUUAACCGAAUAGGGGAGCCGGAGGGAAACCGAGUCUUAAUUGGGCGUUAAGUUGCAGGGUAUAGACCCGAAACCCGGUGAUCUAGCCAUGGGCAGGUUGAAGGUUGGGUAACACUAACUGGAGGACCGAACCGACUAAUGUUGAAAAAUUAGCGGAUGACCUGUGGCUGGGGGUGAAAGGCCAAUCAAACCGGGAGAUAGCUGGUUCUCCCCGAAAGCUAUUUAGGUAGCGCCUCGUGAAUUCAUCUCCGGGGUAGAGCACUGUUUCGGCUAGGGGGCCAUCCCGGCUUACCAACCCGAUGCAAACUGCGAAUACCGGAGAAUGUUAUCACGGGAGACACACGGCGGGUGCUAACGUCCGUCGUGAAGAGGGAAACAACCCAGACCGCCAGCUAAGGUCCCAAAGUCAUGGUUAAGUGGGAAACGAUGUGGGAAGGCCCAGACAGCCAGGAUGUUGGCUUAGAAGCAGCCAUCAUUUAAAGAAAGCGUAAUAGCUCACUGGUCGAGUCGGCCUGCGCGGAAGAUGUAACGGGGCUAAACCAUGCACCGAAGCUGCGGCAGCGACACUGUGUGUUGUUGGGUAGGGGAGCGUUCUGUAAGCCUGUGAAGGUGUGUCGUGAGGCAUGCUGGAGGUAUCAGAAGUGCGAAUGCUGACAUAAGUAACGAUAAAGCGGGUGAAAAGCCCGCUCGCCGGAAGACCAAGGGUUCCUGUCCAACGUUAAUCGGGGCAGGGUGAGUCGACCCCUAAGGCGAGGCCGAAAGGCGUAGUCGAUGGGAAACGGGUUAAUAUUCCCGUACUUGGUGUUACUGCGAAGGGGGGACGGAGAAGGCUAUGUUGGCCGGGCGACGGUUGUCCCGGUUUAAGCGUGUAGGUGUGUGUUCCAGGUAAAUCCGGUUCACUUUAACACUGAGGCGUGACGACGAGGCACUACGGUGCUGAAGCAACAAAUGCCCUGCUUCCAGGAAAAGCCUCUAAGCAUCAGGUAACAUCAAAUCGUACCCCAAACCGACACAGGUGGUCAGGUAGAGAAUACCAAGGCGCUUGAGAGAACUCGGGUGAAGGAACUAGGCAAAAUGGUGCCGUAACUUCGGGAGAAGGCACGCUGACACGUAGGUGAAGUGAUUUACUCAUGGAGCUGAAGUCAGUCGAAGAUACCAGCUGGCUGCAACUGUUUAUUAAAAACACAGCACUGUGCAAACACGAAAGUGGACGUAUACGGUGUGACGCCUGCCCGGUGCCGGAAGGUUAAUUGAUGGGGUCAGCGCAAGCGAAGCUCCUGAUCGAAGCCCCGGUAAACGGCGGCCGUAACUAUAACGGUCCUAAGGUAGCGAAAUUCCUUGUCGGGUAAGUUCCGACCUGCACGAAUGGCGUAAUGAUGGCCAGGCUGUCUCCACCCGAGACUCAGUGAAAUUGAACUCGCUGUGAAGAUGCAGUGUACCCGCGGCAAGACGGAAAGACCCCGUGAACCUUUACUAUAGCUUGACACUGAACAUUGAGCCUUGAUGUGUAGGAUAGGUGGGAGGCUUUGAAGUGUGGACGCCAGUCUGCAUGGAGCCGACCUUGAAAUACCACCCUUUAAUGUUUGAUGUUCUAACGUGGACCCGUUACCCGGGUUGCGGACAGUGUCUGGUGGGUAGUUUGACUGGGGCGGUCUCCUCCUAAAGAGUAACGGAGGAGCACGAAGGUUGGCUAAUCCUGGUCGGACAUCAGGAGGUUAGUGCAAUGGCAUAAGCCAGCUUGACUGCGAGCGUGACGGCGCGAGCAGGUGCGAAAGCAGGUCAUAGUGAUCCGGUGGUUCUGAAUGGAAGGGCCAUCGCUCAACGGAUAAAAGGUACUCCGGGGAUAACAGGCUGAUACCGCCCAAGAGUUCAUAUCGACGGCGGUGUUUGGCACCUCGAUGUCGGCUCAUCACAUCCUGGGGCUGAAGUAGGUCCCAAGGGUAUGGCUGUUCGCCAUUUAAAGUGGUACGCGAGCUGGGUUUAGAACGUCGUGAGACAGUUCGGUCCCUAUCUGCCGUGGGCGCUGGAGAACUGAGGGGGGCUGCUCCUAGUACGAGAGGACCGGAGUGGACGCAUCACUGGUGUUCGGGUUGUCAUGCCAAUGGCACUGCCCGGUAGCUAAAUGCGGAAGAGAUAAGUGCUGAAAGCAUCUAAGCACGAAACUUGCCCCGAGAUGAGUUCUCCCUGAGACUUAGAGUCUCCUGAAGGAACGUUGAAGACGACGACGUUGAUAGGCCGGGUGUGUAAGCGCAGCGAUGCGUUGAGCUAACCGGUACUAAUGAACCGUGAGGCUUAACCUUACAACGCCGAAG